AUUGAACGCUGGCGGCAGGCCUAACACAUGCAAGUCGAGCGGGGUUUUCGGACCUAGCGGCGGACGGGUGAGUAAUGCGUAGGAAGCUACCCGGUAGAGGGGGAUACCAGUUGGAAACGACUGUUAAUACCGCAUAAUGUCUACGGACCAAAGUGUGGGACCUUCGGGCCACAUGCUAUCGGAUGCGCCUACGUGGGAUUAGCUAGUUGGUGAGGUAAUGGCUCACCAAGGCGACGAUCCCUAGCUGGUUUGAGAGGAUGAUCAGCCACACUGGAACUGAGACACGGUCCAGACUCCUAGGGGAGGCAGCAGUGGGGAAUAUUGGACAAUGGGCGCAAGCCUGAUCCAGCCAGGCCGCGUGUGUGAAGAAGGCCUUCGGGUUGUAAAGCACUUUCAGUAGGGAGGAAGCGUUGUGUGUUAAUAGUACACAGCGUUGACGUUACCGACAGAAUAAGCACCGGCUAACUCUGUGCCAGCCGCCGCGGUAAUAC
rnacentral:rRNA from 1 species